rnacentral:rRNA from 1 species
GACGAACGCUGGCGGCGUGCCUAAUACAUGCAAGUAGAACGCUGAAGGAGGAGCUUGCUUCUCUGGAUGAGUUGCGAACGGGUGAGUAACGCGUAGGUAACCUGCCUGGUAGCGGGGGAUAACUAUUGGAAACGAUAGCUAAUACCGCAUAAGAGUAGAUGUCGCAUGACAUUUGCUUAAAAGGUGCAAUUGCAUCACUACCAGAUGGACCUGCGUUGUAUUAGCUAGUUGGUGAGGUAACGGCUCACCAAGGCAACGAUACAUAGCCGACCUGAGAGGGUGAUCGGCCACACUGGGACUGAGACACGGCCCAGACUCCUACGGGAGGCAGCAGUAGGGAAUCUUCGGCAAUGGACGGAAGUCUGACCGAGCAACGCCGCGUGAGUGAAGAAGGUUUUCGGAUCGUAAAGCGCUGUUGUAAGAGAAGAACGAGUGUGAGAGUGGAAAGUUCACACUGUGACGGUAUCUUACCAGAAAGGGACGGCUAACUACGUG